CAGCAGCCGCGGUAAUACGUAGGUGGCAAGCGUUGUCCGGAUUUAUUGGGUUUAAAGGGUCCGUAGGCUGAUCUGUAAGUCAGUGGUGAAAUCUCACAGCUUAACUGUGAAACUGCCAUUGAUACUGCAGGUCUUGAGUGAGGUAGAGGUAGCUGGAAUAAGUAGUGUAGCGGUGAAAUGCAUAGAUAUUACUUAGAACACCAAUUGCGAAGGCAGGUUACCAUGUCUCAACUGACGCUGAUGGACGAAAGCGUGGGGAGCGAACAGGAUUAGAUACCCUGGUAGUCCACGCUGUAAACGAUGCUAACUCGUUUUUGGGUUUUUAAGAUUCAGAGACUAAGCGAAAGUGAUAAGUUAGCCACCUGGGGAGUACGAACGCAAGUUUGAAACUCAAAGGAA
rnacentral:rRNA from 1 species